rnacentral:rRNA from 1 species
GACGAAUGCUGGCGGCGUGCUUAACACAUGCAAGUCGAACGGAAAGGCCCUGCUUUGGGGGGGUGCGCGAGUGGCGAACGGGUGAGUAACACGUGAGUAACCUGCCCUUGACUGUGGGAGAACUUCAGGAAACUGGGGCUAAUACCGGAUAGGAGCUCCUGCUGCAUGGUGGGGGUUGGAAAGUUUCGGCGGUUGGGGAUGGACUCGCGGCUUAUCAGCUUGUUGGUGGGGUAGUGGCUGACCAAGGCUUUGACGGGUAGCCGGCCUGGGAGGGUGACCGGCCACAUUGGGACUGAGCUACGGCCCAGCCUCCUACGGGAGGCAGAAGUGGGGAAUAUUGUACAGUGGGCGGAAGCCUGAUGCAGCCACGCCGCGUGCGGGAUGACGGCCUUCGGGUUGUAAUCCGCUUUCGCCUGUGACGAAGCGUGAGUGACGGUAAUGGGUAAAGAAGCACCGGCUAACUACGUG